rnacentral:rRNA from 1 species
CCUACGGGAGGCAGCAGUCGGGAAUCUUGCACAAUGGGCGAAAGCCUGAUGCAGCAACACCGUGUGAGCGAUGAAGGCCCUAGGGUCGUAAAGCUCUGUUGUUAGGGACGAAGGGCGAAGGGUUAAUAGCCCUUAGCCUGACGGUACCUUUCGAGGAAGCCCCGGCUAACUACGUGCCAGCAGCCGCGGUAAUACGUAGGGGGCGAGCGUUGUCCGGAAUUAUUGGGCGUAAAGGGCGUGUAGGCGGCUUGGUAAGUCUGCUGUGAAACCUUGGGGCUCAACCCCAAGCGUGCAGUGGAUACUGUCAAGCUAGAGGAUGGUAGAGGCCAGUGGAAUUCCCGGUGUAGCGGUGAAAUGCGCAGAUAUCGGGAGGAACACCAGUAGCGAAGGCGGCUGGCUGGGCCAUUCCUGACGCUGAGACGCGAAAGCUAGGGGAGCGAACAGGAUUAGAUACCCUGGUAGUCCUAGCCGUAAACGAUGAACACUAGGUGUGGGGGGAGUCGAAUCCCUCCGUGCCGAAGCCAACGCGUUAAGUGUUCCGCCUGGGGAGUACGGCCGCAAGGCUAAAACUCAAAUGAAUUGACGGGG